UCCAGCCUUCCCUGUAGAGAGCAACUUCAGCCCUGGAGAAGCAAGAAGGAGAAGGUGUGCGUUUUAGAGACAUCUGGAAGGUUCUUCAAUUGGAUCUCCACCAAGGCAAAAUUUGGCAGUUUCAUUCGAGCUUGGCAGAAGCUGUGUAUAGCCUAUUCUGAAGAGACUACCUGAGAUUAGUUAUAAUUAGAGUAAGACCCUCCACAAGUCUGAGACCAAGCCCCCUGACUGGCUCUAAUGUCAAGCACACAUUU